rnacentral:rRNA from 1 species
AUUUUGGUCAAUGGGGGAAACCCUGAUCCAGCCAUCCCGCGUGUGCGAUGAAUGCCUNNNGGUUGNACAGCACUUUUGGCAGGNAAGNAAAGGUUCUGGCUAAUACCCGGAACUGCUGACGGUACCUGCAGAAUAAUCACCGGCUAACUACGUUCCAGCAGCAGCGGUAAUACGUAGGGUGCAAUCGUUAAUCGCAAUUACUGGGCGUAAAGCGUGCGCAGGCGGUUUGGCAAGAAGGAUGUGAAAUCCCAGGGCUUAACCUUGGGACUGCAUUCUUAACUGCCAGGCUAGAGUAUGUCAGAGGGGGGUAGAAUUCCGCGUGUAGCAGUGAAAUGCGUAGAGAUGCGGAGGAAUACCGAUGGCGAAGGCAGCCCCCUGGGAUAAUACUGACGCUCAUGCACGAAAGCGUGGGGAGCAAACAGG